GGAACUGUUGAGCAGUGAAAUAGUGGAGAAUUUAACGAAUAAACUGUACUAUUUGGAUAGCCCAAAAAUUUUGAAAAUUUUAUGAUAAGAAUAUAUAUGAGUCUAGUUUUAGGGAAAAUUUAUGGAUCUAAAUUUCAAUGCUGAUACUAUUUAUCACUUUCAUUCCUCUUGAAUCUUUGUGGAAAAGGUACAGGUGGAAGUACAUCCGGC
rnacentral:lncRNA from 1 species